rnacentral:rRNA from 1 species
GAUGAACGCUAGCUACAGGCUUAACACAUGCAAGUCGAGGGACCGGCGCACGGGUGAGUAACACGUAUCCAACCUGCCCUUUACUCGGGGAUAGCCUUUCGAAAGAAAGAUUAAUACCCGAUAUAAAGGAUGGGGAUGCGUUCCAUUAGGUUGUUGGUGAGGUAACGGCUCACCAAGCCUUCCAUGGAUAGGGGUUCUGAGAGGAAGGUACCCUACAUUGGAGCUGAGGCACGGUCCAAUCUCCGACGGGGGACAGCAGUAAGGAAUAUUAGUGAAUGGGCGGUGACCUGGACCAGCCGAGUGGCGUAAAGGAUGCAGGCUUAUGAGUCGUAAACUUCUUUUAUAUAAGAAUAUGUAUUAUAUGAAUAAGGAUCGGCUAACUCCGUGCCAGCCGCCGCGGUAAUAC